AGUUUUAGACCCGAAUGGCCGAGGCAGCCUUCUGGCAUAAUACUGACACUGUAGGCUCGAAAGCGUGGGUAGCAAUAAAGAAUAAAUACCCUGGUAGUCCACGCCGUAAACGAUGUCUACUAGUCGUUGGGUCCCUUGAGGACUUAGUGACGCAGCUAACGCAAUAAGUAGACCGCCUGGGGAGUACGGCCGCAAGGUUAAAACUCAAAUGAAUUGACGGGGGCCCGCACAAGCGGUGGAGCAUGUGGUUUAAUUCGAUGCAACGCGAAGAACCUUACCUGGUCUUGAAAUAUCUAGAAUCCUGCAGAGAUGCGGGAGUGCCUUCGGGAAUUAGAAUACAGGUGCUGCAUGGCUGUCGUC
rnacentral:rRNA from 1 species